UUCUUGGGACUGAUGUUGAUGGCUGG
rnacentral:piRNA from 1 species